rnacentral:rRNA from 1 species
CCGCGGGAUUAGAGUUUGAUCCUGGCUCAGAGCGAACGCUGGCGGCAUGCUUAACACAUGCAAGUCGCACGGUCGGAGCAAUCCGGCAGUGGCGGACGGGUGAGUAACGCGUAGGUAUCUAUCCUUGGGUGGGGGAUAACGCCGGGAAACUGGUGCUAAUACCGCAUGACGACUGAGGUCCAAAGGCGCAAGUCGCCUGGGGAGGAGCCUGCGUCCGAUUAGCUUGUUGGUGGGGUAAUGGCCUACCAAGGCGACGAUCGGUAGCUGGUCUGAGAGGAUGAUCAGCCACAUUGGGACUGAGACACGGCCCAAACUCCUACGGGAGGCAGCAGUGGGGAAUAUUGGACAAUGGGCGAAAGCCUGAUCCAGCAAUGCCGCGUGGAUGAAGAAGGUCUUCGGAUUGUAAAGUCCUUUCGGCGGGGACGAUGAUGACGGUACCCGCAGAAGAAGCCCCGGCUAACUUCGUGCCAGCAGCCGCGGUAAUACGAAGGGGGCUAGCGUUGCUCGGAAUGACUGGGCGUAAAGGGCGCGUAGGCGGUUUGGAUCGUUAGGCGUGAAAUUCCCGGGCUCAACCUGGGGACUGCGCUUAAUACAGCCGGACUUGAGUGAGGAAGAGGGUUGUGGAAUUCCCAGUGUAGAGGUGAAAUUCGUAGAUAUUGGGAAGAACACCGGUGGCGAAGGCGGCAACCUGGUCCUUUACUGACGCUGAGGCGCGAAAGCGUGGAGAGCAAACAGGAUUAGAUACCCUGGUAGUCCACGCCGUAAACGAUGUGUGCUGGAUGUUGGGUGACCUAGUCACGCAGUGUCGU